rnacentral:rRNA from 1 species
GAUAAACGCUAGCGGCAGGCUUAAUACAUGCAAGUCGAGGGGUAGCAAGAUUGUAGCAAUACAAUUGUUGACGACCGGCAAACGGGUGCGGAACACGUACACAACCUUCCUACAAGUGGGGAAUAGCCCAGAGAAAUUUGGAUUAAUACCCCGUAACAUAGCGAUGUGGCAUCACAUUGCUAUUAUAGCUUCGGCGCUUGUUGAUGGGUGUGCGGCUGAUUAGAUAGUUGGCGGGGUAACGGCCCACCAAGUCUACGAUCAGUAGCUGAUGUGAGAGCAUGAUCAGCCACACGGGCACUGAGACACGGGCCCGACUCCUACGGGAGGCAGCAGUAAGGAACAUUGGACAAUGGACGCAAGUCUGAUCCAGCCAUGCCGCGUGAAGGAUUAAGGUCCUCUGGAUUGUAAACUUCUUUUAUAAGGGACGAAAAAAGGUCUUUCUAGAUCGUCUGACGGUACCUUAUGAAUAAGCACCGGCUAACUCCGUGCCAGCCGCCGCAGUAAAAC